rnacentral:rRNA from 1 species
GAUGAACGCUGGCGGCGUGCCUAAUACAUGCAAGUCGAGCGAACCGACGAGGAGCUUGCUCCUCUGACGUUAGCGGCGGACGGGUGAGUAACACGUGGAUAACCUACCUAUAAGACUGGGAUAACUUCGGGAAACCGGAGCUAAUAACGGAUAAUAUAUUGCACCGCAUGGUUCAAUAGUGAAAGACGGUUUUGCUGUCACUUAUAGAUGGCUCCGCGCCGCAUUAGUUAGUUGGUAAGGGAACGGCUUACCAAGGCAACGAUGCGUAGCCGACCUGAGCGGGUGAUCGGCCACACUGGAACUGAGACACGGUCCAGACUCCUACGGGAAGCAGCAGUAGGGAAUCUUCCGCAAUGGGCGAAUGCCUGACAGAGCAACGCCGCGUGAGGGAUGAAGGACUUCGGAUCGGAAAACUCUGUUAUUAGGGAAGAACAAAUGUUUAAGUAACUAUGCACGUCUUGACGGUACCUAAACAGAAAGCCACGGCUAACUACGUG